AUUGGUAACCAUUACCUCUCCAAGUGUAUCUCUUCGAUAUAUGUAGCAAUGUGUUGGACCUAUAUUUUUCGGAGUCCACUAGGAGGUUAUUCGGUGUCGCUUUAAACGUGGCCACUGUAAAGAGAGUCACCCCGAUAUAACUUUUUUUUUACAUUAAAGAUAGACGUAGUCAUUUAGCCACCGUCCGUAUUUUUAUUAUAGUGUAAAAAAAAAAUGUUUUUAUGUUUUGCUAAACUCUUAGGUUAGUCUUUCCGGCUUGUCAGCUCGCUCUACUCUGUGGCGGCUGAAGAAAAAAAGAACCAGUUGGCAAGCGAAGCGAACGCUCGGAGCCAGCAGCAAACUAGCCAUUUCAUCGUUUAUUUUUGUCGUAAGCAUUGGCUUACUUGUGAAGAUUGUUUCGUUUUAUCCUAAAGACUGUUUGGAGUUUGUCUGCCUUGGAUUACGGAUAUUACACAUUUCCCUGUAUUAAACAUUAACUGUGCUAGCUAGCUAAACAUUUUAUUUGUGCGACGACAGCUGUCAUUUGGAGAAGGAAAAGUGAUCCGUCAUGCGUGAGAAAUUAAGCUGAUUUCUACUGGAUUUACAUUUUAACAUCCUUCAAAUGGGCGACGUUAACGUUCAAUAUUUGAGAACUGCGGUGGUAUUGCCUUAGUAACUAGUGUGGCCACCUAGCUUGCUACUUAUACUUAUCGUUGGACAGAAGACAGCUAGUUAGCUGGCUAUAUCAUUCAUUCAGCCUCAUAAAUACACUAACUACAAAGUGAUAUAACUAUAGCAAUAUCGCUUACAAUUUUGGACAUGAAGAAAAUAACCUACUAUUCAUAGGGUUGAAAGAAUGUCAUCAGAGGAUAAGACUGUGGAGCCCUCUGACCAGGGACCCUCGCUGCCCUCUGUUAGUGCAGGGGCCACGUCCACAGGAAGCCCUGCCCAGACAGACAAGCGCCCCAGGGGCAGACCACGCAAGGAUGCUACCACCACCAUCGUACCCCAGGCUCUACCCACAACUACAUCCAAGACCAGGAAGAAGGGGCGUACCAGAGGUAGAGUGGUUGUGGAGGAGGAGGACAGCAGCAUGGACGGGACAGAGGCAGCCGCUUCAGAGAGCCCCCUCAGGACACAACAGGGUCUGAUUUGAGGAGAUGGGGGAGAUGAGCCCCUGGUUCCAGACAUCAGGAAAGCAGCCAGAAGUUACACUGAACAAAAAUGUAAACACAACAUGUAAAGUGUUGGUAUCAUGUUCUGUGAGCUGAAAUAAAAGAUCCUAGAAAUGUUUCAUACGCAC
ensembl:lncRNA